rnacentral:lncRNA from 1 species
UGGUGGUGGAGGAGGAGGAGGAGGGUGUGGGUGUGUGUGUGUGUGUGAGUGAGAGAGAGAGAGAAACCUGAUACCUGGGCUCUGCCAAGCAUCCUAGACUCUUCAAAGCAGGGCUGCCAGCCCCAGGAGACAGAGCCAAGCACUCCCAGGAGAUUGCUGAACGCAGUAAGUCAUGCUGGCUUUAAUGCAGCUCCCAACUAACUUGAAGGGGAAGGCCCCUCAAAACAGGGAAAGGUUGAUUCCAUUUGAAAGUUUAGCCUGGAAUGCAGACAGAUAUGCAGCCCCCAGUCAGAUGCUCAGAGUAGUACUCCCCUUACCCUGGAGGAGGGUGACCAGAUGCCCAAAUAUUAGGGGCUUUGUCUUGUAUAGGAUCCUAUUACCCCCAACCACCCCAGUUUUUCACACCUGCUAUCUGGUCACCCUACCCUGGAGCAGAGGAAUUGUCUACUCUUUCCCUUCCCCAUCCUCCCAGCCACUCCCCUCAGUUUUGAGCCCAUACCUCCCCCUGCCACUAUACAGCUCAAUCCCUGCAAUACCUCAGAUGCUUCAAAAUCUUUGUUCAGAAUGUCAAUCCUUUGUAUUGAUUAACAGAAAGAGAGACAAGGGCUGGCCCCAAUCAGGUUACUCAUUAUUGACUUUUCUUCCAAUGGAGAUAGGUUAUUUGCAUUACCACAGCACCUACACUAGGGUGACCAGAUGUCACCCUACUAGACCAGACAGUCCCGAUUUUUGGGUCUUUUUCUUAUAUAGGAUCCUAUUGCCCCCCACCCCCGUCCCGAUUUUUCACAUUUGCUGUCUGGUUGUCCUAGCACCUAGAGGCCCUAGUUCUGGGCCAAGGCCCCACUGCGCUAGGCACCGUACAAAUGCAGAACAAAGAGAAAUGGUCCCCUGCCCCAGAGCGUUUACAAUCUCAGGCCAGAGUCGAGAGAUGGAUACCGAGGAGGAGGAGCACAAGAGAACAGCGAGAGCCUGGAUGAGAGCUUUAGCUGCAUGAAUGGAUCAGAAAGGCUGUACCAUAGGAAACAUUAUGCAGAAAGAAUCUGUGAGUUGUAGACCUAACAUGGGUCUGAGGACCUAGAGAGGGGCC